UUGAGAGUGACACAGGCGAGUGGAAGUGGAGACUUCUUGUACGCAGCAAACAGAAUCAUUGGAAAUUCUGGAAAAAUGGAGUCUGUCUGAAAACAGUGUGCAUAGAAGCAGAAGAUCAGAGCUGGAAUGAAUCUUGGAAAGACUGCUCCACCCCUUAAUUUACAGAAAAGGACACUGAGGACAAUGGGAAUCAAGAAUUUCCCUACGGGCAUUUUGGGAAGAAAUGAAAGAGCACGAGUUUAAAGCCUUGAAAUCAGUAUCAUACAUAGAUACAAUUACAACGCCUGGCUCUACUUUCCCCUUUUGUUUUUUCACUGCUAUACAAGGUUUCAUAAGAGAGUGAUUAAGGAUGUGGUCUCCUGGGUGGAACUUCCUGGGUACGCAGUGUAUUCAGUCACCUAGCAGCUGGGUAACAACAGGCAAACUGCAGGAUCUCCCUGUGCCAUGAAUUCCUUCUGUGUAAAUAAGGAUUGAAGCAGAACUUUUAUCACAGUGUCACUGUAAAGUAAAUUAAUACACACAGAAAUGCUUAGAAGAGUACCUGGCAUAUAAGACAAGCUAAUGCAAGUCACCUAUUAAUAUUAUAAUGUCUAUUAUUAUGAUUAUGAUGUCCCAUCUCUUGGCAUUUGCCUACAUAUAAAGUGACCAGUGCUCUUCCUUGCUGUCUUGUUUCUCACAUACAGGUAAAUAUAGAAAGAACAUUUAUCUGUUGCCUCUUGUGUACCAGAGAUAAAAUCAAGGCUGUCAAACUGAAAUAAAACCUGAAGAUAGUCUGAUAAAUUAAUUCACCAAAUACUUAUAGUUGCUAAUGGUUUCAUAUAUUUCACCUGCCACAUACAGGUUUCUUUUUAAGAGUAGUUCUUUUAAGUAUUUGAAUAGUAAGGGAAAUGUAUAGAGAAAUACAGGAUACUGCGUAGAACCAAUAGGAUGUAUAUUUUGGUGCAUGUUAGGGUCUUCUGUAGCUGGCAGGUUGCUCUUGCCUUCUGCAAGUAAAACUGUUACAAACAGGCAAUAAACAAUUUACCCAAAGAUUCUGAUGUGGGACUUCUAGUUUAAUAUGGCAACAUUUGACCAACCUCAAAA